AGUGAACGCUGGCGGCGUGCUUAACACAUGCAAGUCGAACGAGAACGGGUUAUAGCUUGCUAUAAUUGUCAGCUAAGUGGCGCACGGGUGAGUAAUGUAUAGGUAAUAUGCCUCUUACUAAGGGAUAACAAAUGGAAACGUUUGCUAAUACCUUAUACUCCUUAUUAACAGAAGUUAAUAAGGGAAAGAUUUAUUGGUAAGAGAUUAGCCUGUAUUGUAUCAGUUAGUUGGUGGGGUAAUGGCUUACCAAGACUAUGACACAUAACUGGUUUGAGAGGAUGAUCAGUCACACUGGAACUGAGACACGGUCCAGACUCCUACGGGAGGCAGCAGUGGGGAAUAUUGCACAAUGGACGGAAGUCUGAUGCAGCAACGCCGCGUGGAGGAUGACACAUUUCGGUGCGUAAACUCCUUUUAUAUGAGAAGAUAAUGACGGUAUUAUAUGAAUAAGCACCGGCUAACUCCGUGCCAGCCGCCGCAGUAAGAC
rnacentral:rRNA from 1 species